ACGGCUCAGUAACACGUAGUCAACAUGCCCAGGGGACGUGGAUAACCUCGGGAAACUGAGGAUAAACCGCGAUAAGUCACUGCUUCUGGAAUGGGCAAUGACUUAAANUCUAUAUGGCCCCUGGAUUGGACUGCGGCCGAUCAGGGCUGUUGGUGAGGUAAUGGCCCACCAAACCUGUAACCGGUACGGGCUCUGAGAGGAGGAGCCCGGAGAUGGGCACUGAGACAAGGGCCCAGGCCCUAUGGGGCGCAGCAGGCGCGAAACCUCUGCAAUAGGCGAAAGCCUGACAGGGUUACUCUGAGUGAUUUCCGUUAAGGAGAUCUUUUGGCACCUCUAAAAAUGGUGCAGAAUAAGGGGUGGGCAAGUCUGGUGUCAGCCGCCGCGGUAAUACCAGCACCCCGAGUGGUCGGGACGUUUAUUGGGCCUAAAGCAUCCGUAGCCGGUUCUGCAAGUCUUCCGUUAAAUCCACCUGCUUAACAGAUGGGCUGCGGAAGAUACUAUAGAGCUAGGAGGCGGGAGAGGCAAGCGGUACUCGAUGGGUAGGGGUAAAAUCCGUUGAUCCAUUGAAGACCACCAGUGGCGAAGGCGGCUUGCCAGAACGCGCUCGACGGUGAGGGAUGAAAGCUGGGGGAGCAAACCGGAUUAGAUACCCGGGUAGUCCCAGCUGUAAACGAUGCAGACUCGGUGAUGAAUUGGCUUUAUGCCAAUUCAGUGCCGCAGGGAAGCCGUUAAGUUUGCCGCCUGGGGAGUACGGUCGCAAGACUGAAACUUAAAGGAAUUGGCGGGGGAGCAC
rnacentral:rRNA from 1 species